rnacentral:rRNA from 2 species
CUUGGUCAUUUAGAGGAAGUAAAAGUCGUAACAAGGUCUCCGUUGGUGAACCAGCGGAGGGAUCAUUAAAGAGUUUAUUAACUCCCAAACCCAUGUGAACAUACCAUACGUUGCCUCGGCAGGCUACAUCUGCUCUAUUAGGGUGAUGUGUAACCAGCCUGCCGGCGGUCCAUUAACUCUGUUUAUUUUUGAAUUCUGAGGUUAUAUAAAAUAAGUUAAAACUUUCAACAACGGAUCUCUUGGUUCUGGCAUCGAUGAAGAACGCAGCGAAAUGCGAUAAGUAAUGUGAAUUGCAGAAUUUAGUGAAUCAUCGAAUCUUUGAACGCACAUUGCGCCCAUUAGUAUUCUAGUGGGCAUGCCUGUUCGAGCGUCAUUUCAACCCUUAAGCCUUUGUUGCUUAGCGUUGGGAGCCUACGGUAGCGUAGCUCCUCAAAAUCAGUGGCGGAGUCGGUUCACACUCUAGACGUAGUACAUUUUAUCUCGUCUGUGAGUUGGGCUGGUCCCCUGCCGUAAAACCCCUAAUUUUUAAAGGUUGACCUCGGAUCAGGUAGGAAUACCCGCUGAACUUAAGCAUAUCAAUAAGCGGAGGA